GAUGAACGCUGGCGGCGUGCUUAACACAUGCAAGUCGAACGAAGCACUCUUUUAGAUUUCCUUCGGGGAAGAAGAAAUUGUGACUGAGUGGCGGACGGGUGAGUAACGCGUGGGUAACCUGCCUUGCACUGGGGGAUAACACUUAGAAAUAGGUGCUAAUACCGCAUAAGCGCACGGUCCUGCAUGGGACAGUGUGAAAAACUCCGGUGGUGCAAGAUGGACCCGCGUCUGAUUAGCUGGUUGGCGGGGUAAAGGCCCACCAAGGCGACGAUCAGUAGCCGGCCUGAGAGGGUGGACGGCCACAUUGGGACUGAGACACGGCCCAAACUCCUACGGGAGGCAGCAGUGGGGGAUAUUGGACAAUGGGGGGAACCCUGAUCCAGCGACGCCGCGUGAGUGAAGAAGUAUUUCGGUAUGUAAAGCUCUGUCAGCAGGGAAGAAAGCAAUGACGGUACCUGACCAAGAAGCCCCGGCUAACUACGUGCCAGCAGCCGCGGUAAUACGUAGGGGGCAAGCGUUAUCCGGAAUUACUGGGUGUAAAGGGAGCGUAGACGGCUGUGCAAGUCUGGAGUGAAAGGCGGNGGCCCAACCCCCGGACUGCUCUGGAAACUGUAUGGCUGGAGUGCAGGAGAGGUAAGCGGAAUUCCUAGUGUNGCGGUGAAAUGCGUAGAUAUUAGGAGGAACACCAGUGGCGAAGGCGGC
rnacentral:rRNA from 1 species